AAUUUUUUUAGUGAUUCAUAUGGCAUCAGGUAUAAAGUUUAUACGUCUCGCGAAUCUUUGAUGAGGGAAAGGCACGGUUAAGCAUUGAUGAGCUAGCAAAAUUUUCCUUUUUCCUGUGAGAAGAGACGGCUUGAAAAACUCAUAGGCGUAAUCAUGUAGCAACAUUUGAUGAUUAGUAUCAAAUGGUGGCGACAAUAAUUUGGCACUGAUGGAAUCAAAGGUCCCCGAUGAGCCAAUUUUCCCAAAUCCUUAUCAUCCCGCCUCGGUAUCGAAUCCCAAAUAGGAUCUGGACCAGUAUCCACUUUUGUUGGAUUCGAGGAUCGGUACCAACCUGUGCCGGUACCGAGAAAUACCGGGCAAAUCUCGAUGGCCCCGUUUUGUCCUGAUUUUUCUAGUACUUACAUAGCAACGAAUACAAUUAUUCAAGAGGAAAACCAAUAACUUCAGAGAGAAACCGGGGGAACUCUAGCAGAAGGCAGUAUGUGAACGGACAAACUAAACACGGAAAUGUAUUCUAAUAUGGACGUUUCUAUUCAGGGAAGGGCUAGACUGAGUCAUUUCUUAAGAAAGAUUGCUAAAGGUCCUGAGACUACCACUUUGAUUUAGAACCUGCUUUUGUUAUUUUUAUUCCAAUAGCUAAAGCAUUUCAUAUCAUGGAAGAACAUUUGACGAACAUAUAUCAUGUAUUCAAAAGUAGGCAAAGAGAAUACCUUU